CAGAUGGAUCUUGCCGAAAAUCAGGUUUGCUGGAGAUCGAAAUUUAUUAUAUAUGCUAGCUUGUAUAUUAAUGUUACCUUCAAUAUCUCGAUCACUUGAUAUAUAUAUAUAUAUAGUAUAGCAGUACUGCAGCACGAAAGAAGUUGGGCUUUAUGAUCCGGAUGCGACAGGGAGGAAUGGAGGUGUUGCGGAGAUAUCCGAAGACGAAGCAGCUUCUCGGUCCUAACUUUGGCCAGAUAAAGAAGAUGGAUGCUCGGGUUGUCAUGAAAAAGGUGAGGACAAUCCAUAUUUUCUGCUGGUCUUCUGAGCUUGAUGAUGAUUUCUUCCUGUCCUUGUUGCCAUUGUUUGCUUCUGGUUUUGAUGAUUGGUAAGGUUAUUUGGAGUUUUUCUGUGAGAAAGUUACAACAUGUUGAACCAAGAGGAUAAGGCAAAGGCAAGAUUUAGAGUACCAGAAUGCUUCCAUGGAGAUGGAUUGGUUCCGAAUAUGGCAGUUUAAUAUCUCACAGAAAUGUUUAGGGGGCUGAAUAUCUUGUCAAAAAGUUCUCGUUGAUGUUGUGAAACAUUGGAAAAGAUAGUAUUUUUUACGAGAGUAAUACUAGAUACAGUUUUAAGAUAUGAAAAUACUGUGUAUUUACUUUAAAAAAAGUGGAGUCUACCAUGAAAAGAUGGUUUUUUGAUUU